CCCUUAGAUGUCCUGGGCUGCACGCGCGCUACACUGAUGUGUCCAGUAAGCACCUAACCUAUUCCGAGAGGAGCGGGUAACCUUAGCAAAGCACAUCGUGAUGGGGAUAGAUUAUUGCAAUUAUUAGUCUUGAACGAGGAAUUCCUAGUAAGCACAAGUCAUCAGCUUGUGUUGAUUACGUCCCUGCCCUUUGUACACACCGCCCGUCGCUCCUACCGAUUGAAUGUUCCGGUGAGCUCUUCGGACUGCGCGGUCUGCAGUUUCCGCGUUCCGUGCGGAAAGUUGUGCAAACCUUAACAUUUAGAGGAAGGAGAAGUCGUAACA
rnacentral:rRNA from 1 species